rnacentral:lncRNA from 1 species
GGUUUUAUUUCUUUGUAAGUAACACAUUCAGCUUUCAAUAAUAAACAGUUUUUACCUUUACGAUUGCUCUCACCUCUUCCGCGCUUCUUCUUUCUCUCUUCUGUUUCUGGUUUUCUUUCCCGUUGGUUGAUCUCUUGUCUCCUUCGUUGCCGGACCACCAUGGAUGUCUUGUUGAUGAAGAUCUCUCUCGAACACGCCUCGAAUGUCGCUGUCUCACCUAACCUCUGAGUUUCGAGACUUCUCGAGGAAGCCUUACUUCUUUUGCUUUGGGCUCGAAAGGCUUUUGGGCCUCUUCUUUUCUUUUGGGCCAUUUCACAAUAUGGCAUCAGAGCAGGUUGCGAACCUGUUCUGGCUACGUUUUCCGUUGCAAUCUUGACUGUUUCUGCUUCUGGGUGUUCUUUCUUCGUUUGCUAUCUCUGCCAUGGCCAAUACGGAACAAACCAACAAUCCUUCCAGCCCCUAUUAUCUUCACCCGGGAGAAAACCCAGGUAUUUCACUUAUUUCACAGAUUCUUGAUGAAUCAAAUUAUACUUCUUGGAGCAGAAGUAUGAGAAGGGCGCUAUUAUCCAAAAACAAGCUGAAGUUUAUAAAUGGAGAGAUCAAGAAACCGAAAAGAGAGGAUGCUCUUUAUGAUGCUUGGGAAAGGAAUAAUAUGAUGGUAUUGUCUUGGAUUAUCAAGACUCUCUCGGUUCACAUAGCUGAAAGUGUUGUCUAUGUUGAAGAUGCUCAAGAACUAUGGGAGGAGUUAAAAGAGAGGUUCUCAAAGGGAGACCAUUUCAAAUUUUCAGAUUUGCUGCAAGAAAUUCACUCCAUCAAGCAAGGGGAGAGAACUGUGAAUCAGUAUUUCACAUAUUUGAAAAUACUGUGGGAAGAACUCGAAUUUUUGAGACCCAUUCCUAGUUGUAGCUACAAGAUUCCUUAUAGCUGUGAUCUUUCAAAAGCUGGGCACAAAUAUAGGGAGAUGGAACAUGUUAUAUGUUUCUUGAAAGGCCUAAAUGAUUGCUAUAAUACUGUUAGAACGCAGAUUUUGCUAAUGGAACCCCUACCCAACAUUAAUCGGGUCUUCUCCCUCAUCAUACAACAAGAGAGGCAAGAAAGGCAAGAAAAACAUGAAUCUGGACACACUAGCCAGACUGAAAUUAAGGUGCUUGCCAGCAACACUGACAAACAAAGUAAUUGGAAGAAUGAUCAAAACUGGAAGGGCUAUGGACGUGGUUUUUCUGGUCGUGGACAAGGAAGGGGCAGAGGAAGAAAUCCUAACCAAGGAAAGCAAUGUUCCUAUUGCCAUAAAAUGAAUCAUACCAUUGAGGAAUGUUAUUCUAAACAUGGAUAUCCUCCAUGGUACAAGAAAGGUGAUAAUAGCGGACAGAACAGCUUUGCUCAGAAUCAGUGGGGAAAUACUAAUGUUUGCACCACUACAGCUGACCCACAAAACAACCAACACUCACAGAGUAAUCAACAAAGCAAUUUUAACAGCAUUCAAAGUACUUUCACUCCAGAACAAAUGAAAAGACUUCUCGAAAUGUUAGACAGCACAGAAAAGUCCUCACACAGUGUCAGUCAAAUUCACAAAGAUAUCAUAGAGGAUANACAAGGUAUGUUUUCCUGGAUAAUGGACACAGGAGCUACAGAUCAUGUUACCCAUGAUAAAAAUUCAUUCACAACAUUUUAUAAAAUCAAACCUAUAUCUGUUAGAUUACCAAACAAAUCCACUGUCACAGCCCAUUAUGCUGGAACAGUGCAGUUUUCUCCAAAUUUUACUAUUUUCAAUGUUUUAUACAUACCAGAUUUCACUUUUAAUCUAAUAUCUGUCCAAUCCUUGACUAAAGACACAAAUUGCAUACUAACUUUCUCUUCUGAGUUAUGUAAAAUACAGGACAGAACCACAUUGAGGAUGAUUGGAUGUGUUAAAGUAUAUAAUGGGCUCUACUACUUACAAAAUGCUGCAAAGGAACCUAACUCUUAUGCAGAGGCCAGAGGAAGUCUUGAAUGGGUUGAUGCUAUGAACAAAGAAAUUAAAGCCUUGGAGUACAAUGGAACCUGGUUCUUGACUAAAUUACCUCCUGGUAAGAAAGCUAUAGGCUGUAAGUGGGUUUACAAGAUCAAACAUAGAGCUGAUGGGACUGUGGAGAGGUAUAAAUCUCGGUUAGUUGCAAAAGGAUAUACCCAACAGAGGGUAUAGAUUAUCUUGAUACAUUUUCACCAGUGGCUAAACUUACCACUAUGAGAUUACUUUUAGCUCUAGCCGCAUCAAAGAAAUGGUUUCUGCAGCAACUUGAUGUUGACAACGCAUUCCUACAUGGAGAUCUAAAUGAGGAUGUUUACAUGGAUCCUCCACCAGGUUUGAAUAUUAAUACUGAAGGGCAGGUUUGUAAACUAACAAAAUCCUUGUAUGGCCUAAAGCAGGCCAGCAGAUAGUGGUUUGAAAAACUAUCCAGUUUUCUUAUGUCUGCAGAUUACAUUCAGUCUAAGUCUGAUCAUUCUUUAUUUGUUAAGAAAACCCACACCAAUUUUACAGCUUUACUUGUAUAUGUUGAUGAUAUUGUUUUAGCAGGGAACUCUAUCAUAGAAAUCACUCAUAUAAAGACUCUUCUAGACCAACAGUUUCACAUAAAAGAUCUUGGAGAGCUUAAAUACUUUCUUGGCUUCGAAGUUGCCAGAUCUAAAAGCGGGAUACAUCUUUAUCAAAGGAAGUAUGCCCCAAACAUCUUAGAAGAAACGGGAAUGAUGGGUAGCAAACCUAGCUCCACCCCCUUUCUGAGUAACAACAAUUUCUUAUACAAGACAGAGAAUUACAUGGAAGAUCCUAGUAUCUAUCGAAGACUUAUAGGGAAGCUCUUCUAUCUCAUUAAUACUAGACUGGAUUUGUGUUUUACUGUUAAUCUCCUUAGUCAAUUUAUGCAAAAGCGCACUAAUUUUCACUACCAGGCUUUGUAGCACGCCCUGAGAUACAUCAAGGCCAGUCCCUCUGAAGGGCUUUUCUUCCCUGCAGACUCUAGCAUUCAGAUAAAAGGGUUCAGUGACUCUGACUGGGCCACUUGUCCCAAUACGCGUAGAUCCACUACCGGAUACUGUGUCUUCCUAGGAGCAUCUCUUGUUUCAUGGAGGUCAAAGAAACAGAGCAUUGUUUCUAGGUCAUCCACAGAGGCUGAAUAUUGCGCCUUAGCUGCUAUCGUUUGUGAAAUGUAGUGGCUGCAUUACAUUCUCCAAGACCUUCACAUUCAACCCGAAGCUGAUGUUGUCCUUUACUGCGGCAACAGUUCUGCAAGGCACAUCGCCCAUAACCAAAGCUUCCAUGAGCGCACGAAACACAUUGAGCUGGACUGCCAUGUCGUUCGCGAGAAGAUUCAAUCCAAGUUCUUACGUUUACUGCCUAUUAGAUCAGAGGACCAACUUGCUGAUNUUUUCACCAAGUUCCCUCACCGCACACGGUUCAAAUCCAUUAUCCCCAAGCUUGGCUUAGUGAAUAUCCACCAUCCAGCUUGAGGGGAGGGUAUUAAUGUUUGCUCUUUUAGGUUGUUACUCCGAAGAGUAACAUUAGGUGUUUUCUGUUUCUCUGAUAGGGAUCUUUUAGUUCCCCCUCANCGGGUUCCUUAUAUAAAGGUCUUCCGGUUUUAUUUCUUUGUAAGUAACACAUUCAGCUUUCAAUAAUAAACAGUUUUUACCUUUACGAUUGCUCUCACCUCUUCCGCGCUUCUUCUUUCUCUCUUCUGUUUCUGGUUUUCUUUCCCGUUGGUUGAUCUCUUGUCUCCUUCGUUGCCGGACCACCAUGGAUGUCUUGCUGAUGAAGAUCUCUCUCGAACACGCCUCGAAUGUCGCUGUCUCACCUAACCUCUGAGUUUCGAGACUUCUCGAGGAAGCCUUACUUCUUUCGCUUUGGGCCCGAAAGGCUUUUGGGCCUCUUCUUUUCUUUUGGGCCAUUUCACAAUACUCUUUUUGACAAGAGGAAAAAGUAAAUAACUAUUUUCUCAAUGCAAACAGGUCGAGUUGAAGCUACAUUUUAGGAUAGAGUUCCUAAAAUGAAAUCGUUUGCACAUUUGUAUAAUUUAUUUUAGUUUUGUAUGCAUAGGUCUAUAAUGAUAACAAAAUAAUUGAAACAUCAAAUGCAUGCUUCAAAUUCGAUUUAUUGUGAUAAGAUGUGAACUAUAUACUAUU